CACGGAGGGUGCAAGCGUUAAUCGGAAUUACUGGGCGUAAAGCGCACGUAGGCGGCAUGCUAAGUCUCAUGUGAAAACCCUGGGCUCAACCUAGGGACUGCAAAAGAAACUGGCAAGCUAGAGUAUCAGAGAGGAUAGCGGAAUUCCAGGUGUAGGAGUGAAAUCCGUAGAUAUCUGGAGGAACACCAGAGGCGAAGGCGGCUAUCUGGCUGAAUACUGACGCUGAGGAGCGAAAGCGUGGGGAGCAAACAGG
rnacentral:rRNA from 1 species